rnacentral:rRNA from 1 species
UACGGGGGGGGGCAAGCGUUGUUCGGAAUUACUGGGCGUAAAGCGCACGUAGGCGGAUCGAUCAGUCAGGGGUGAAAUCCCAGGGCUCAACCCUGGAACUGCCUUUGAUACUGUCGAUCUGGAGUAUGGAAGAGGUGAGUGGAAUUCCGAGUGUAGAGGUGAAAUUCGUAGAUAUUCGGAGGAACACCAGUGGCGAAGGCGGCUCACUGGUCCAUUACUGACGCUGAGGUGCGAAAGCGUGGGGAGCAAACAGG